GAUGAACGCUGGCGGCGUGCUUAACACAUGCAAGUCGAACGGAAAGGCCCAAGCUUGCUUGGGUACUCGAGUGGCGAACGGGUGAGUAACACGUGGGUGAUCUGCCCUGCACUUCGGGAUAAGCCUGGGAAACUGGGUCUAAUACUGGAUAGGACCACUUCUUGGAUGUUGUGGUGGAAAGUUUUUUCGGUGUGGGAUGAGCUCGCGGCCUAUCAGCUUGUUGGUGGGGUAAUGGCCUACCAAGGCGUCGACGGGUAGCCGGCCUGAGAGGGUGUACGGCGACAUUGGGACUGAGAUACGGCCCAGACUCCUACGGGAGGCAGAAGUGGGGAAUAUUGCACAAUGGGCGCAAGCCUGAUGCAGAGACGCCGCGUGGGGGAUGACGGCCUUCGGGUUGUAAACUCCUUUCGCUAGGGACGAAGCGUUUUGUGACGGUACCUGGAGAAGAAGCACCGGCUAACUACGUG
rnacentral:rRNA from 1 species